GCCUGGGGCAUGAAAAGAUGUGUCAACACAUGCCAUACUCGCACUGUUCUGCAGAACAUCACUAUUCUGCAUAAGAAAUUUAACUUUCCGGAGCCUCCAGAAAGGAGGCUUACCUUAGGGGAUCUUUAUCUUGGUUGCCAGUUUGAUGGGAUCUUGGAUCAAUCAAGAGAUGUGCUUCAACACUACUCUUCGAGGAGAUGCUACCCAGAAGGGAGAGCAGUACCAGCCCAGAUGUAGAGGUUGAGGGAAAAAUAUUGAUGCUUUUGCCUGCCUGCCGUUGGUCCUUGCUGGAAUCCCCUGAGCCUUUAGAAGCAGGCUGGGACCCGCUGCUGUGACAUUCAGCCUUGUGAACUGAACGGAUCCCACAUUCGGAGCCUCUCCAGUGCUCACACAACCACUCGGGACUACACAGACCUAUUGUGCAAGCCGUGUAAUAAAUCCCAACUUGUCAUGGUGUAUCCAGGACUUGCUACAGUGGGAGAAUUGGGAUCUGAGGAUGCCAGCUAAGAGGAAUUGGAACUAUAAAAUGCUGAAAUUCAACAGUAAGAAACCUGUGGAGAGCAUACAUGCCAGGAUCAGAAAGAUGGAUUCAGCCCUACAGCCCCAGGAUCACAAGGUUUGACUUGAAGACUGAGAGCUGUUCAGUGUGAACACCCGGAACAUCACAAAUUUCCCGAAUCCUACAGGGAGUUCUGCACGACACUACCUUGGGAAAGGCUUGUGAAAACUGCCAACCCCUUCUGCCAGGAAACAAUGACUAACUAUCCCAACAUCUACCCCACUGAUAAACUGCUGGAGUACUAGAGGGGCUGGUACCACAGAUCCAAAACAACAGGAUCUCCAUGACUCAAGGCAACAACAAGAUAUUCCAGAAGUCCCAGUGAUGUUCCUGUACUGAUAGAGUAGCAGAAGCCAGAGGCCUCCUACAAGAACAAUAAAUCGUAAUGAACUUUGAAUGCAAAGAAAUUUGUAGAAAGGGGAAUACUGUGGGACACAGUGGGACACAGUGGGAUACAC